AACGAACGCUGGCGGCAUGCCUAACACAUGCAAGUCGAACGAGACCUUCGGGUCUAGUGGCGCACGGGUGCGUAACUCGUGGGAACCUUCCCUUAGGUUCGGAAUAACUCCCCGAAAGGGGUGCUAAUACCGGAUAAUGUCUUCGGACCAAAGAUUUAUCGCCUUUGGAUGGGCCCGCGUUGGAUUAGCUAGUUGGUAGGGUAAAAGCCUACCAAGGCGACGAUCCAUAGCUGGUCUGAGAGGAUGAUCAGCCACACUGGGACUGAGACACGGCCCAGACUCCUACGGGAGGCAGCAGUGGGGAAUAUUGGAAAAUGGGCGAAAGUCUGAUCCAGCAAGGCCGCGUGAGUGAUGAAGGCGUUAGGGUUGUAAAGCUCUUUUACCCGGGAUGAUAAUGACAGUACCGGGAGAAUAAGCUCCGGCUAACUCCGUG
rnacentral:rRNA from 1 species